rnacentral:miRNA from 1 species
UGUGUUGCUUAGGGUCUGAUCCUGCACCGCUGAAGUCAAUGGAAGUUUUGUCAUUGACUUCAAUAGGAGCAGGAUUUGAACCUUAUGCUCUAU